AUGCAGUGACGCUGAAGCUUGGUGCUUGCACCGAGCGGAUGAGUUGCGAACGGGUGAGUAACGCGUAGGUAACCUGCCUCUUAGCGGGGGAUAACUAUUGGAAACGAUAGCUAAUACCGCAUAAAAGUCAACAUUGCAUGAUGUUGACUUGAAAGGUGCAAAUGCAUCACUAAGAGAUGGACCUGCGUUGUAUUAGCUAGUUGGUGAGGUAACGGCUCACCAAGGCGACGAUACAUAGCCGACCUGAGAGGGUGAUCGGCCACACUGGGACUGAGACACGGCCCAGACUCCUACGGGAGGCAGCAGUAGGGAAUCUUCGGCAAUGGACGGAAGUCUGACCGAGCAACGCCGCGUGAGUGAAGAAGGUUUUCGGAUCGUAAAGCUCUGUUGUAAGAGAAGAACGAGUGUGAGAGUGGAAAGUUCACACUGUGACGGUAACUUACCAGAAAGGGACGGCUAACUACGUGCCAGCAGCCGCGGUAAUACGUAGGUCCCGAGCGUUAUCCGGAUUUAUUGGGCGUAAAGCGAGCGCAGGCGGUUAGAUAAGUCUGAAGUUAAAGGCUGUGGCUUAACCAUAGUACGCUUUGGAAACUGUUUAACUUGAGUGCAGAAGGGGAGAGUGGAAUUCCAUGUGUAGCGGUGAAAUGCGUAGAUAUAUGGAGGAACACCGGUGGCGAAAGCGGCUCUCUGGUCUGUAACUGACGCUGAGGCUCGAAAGC
rnacentral:rRNA from 1 species